rnacentral:lncRNA from 1 species
GUUUCUACUCGUGGAAUUCUGUUGCCUCACCGCGCCCGUCUUCCUUUGCUACCCGUGACAAGGAGGUGGAGCGGGCUCCUGCAGAUUGGGUCCAAUGUAUACGUUCUUGAGGUCUCCUGGGCAACGCACAUCACAUGACCGAACUUACUGCCACCUUCGCACUGCUUCGCUGAUGGCGUCAUCGAGGGAGACUGCACAUUGUUUCUACUCGUGGAAUUCUGUUGCCUCACCGCGCCCGUCUUCCUUUGCUACCCGUGACAAGGAGGUGGAGCGGGCUCCUGCAGAUUGGGUCCAAUGUAUAUGUUCCUGAGGUCUACUGGGCCACACACAUCACAUGACCGAGCUUACUGCCACCUUCGCACUGCUUCGCUGAUGGCGUCAUCGAGGGAGACUGCACAUUGCUGUACUCGUGGAAUUGCUGUUGAUUCCCAGAGUCCAUCGCUACCCGUGAGAAAGACAUGAAGUUGGGUCCAGCAGAGUGAUUCUAAUGCCAACGUUCCCGAGUUCUCGGGGCACUACUCGUCGUAUUGCCGAACUUAUUGCCACCUUUGCACUGCUUCACUGACGGCUACAUCCAGGGAGACGGGACGUGGCCACUAACUUUGCAGAUGGCUCCAGCGUGUUCUGGCGUGUGGCGCGCUACAGAAGAUUGGUCCAGCCCGCUCAUUGACAUCAGUAACGUCCGUGGCAUUUCCUCAAGAGCGACUGUGUCCAGCCUGACCAUUCUACCGGGAACUCUGGACCAGUCAAGUCUUCGUACGUUUCUAAGACUUUGUUGGUGUCCUGCACUGUCUUCGCUGCGUGUGGGUUCUCCGCAAAGACUGCAGUCUCCUUCGCUCGACCACCUACCGGACGACGUGUUGCACUUUUGUGAACAGUUUAGUCUAUAGCAACGCACCCUAUGUUGAGAGCUGCGCUUCGCUCAGCCAACGGCUGGGGCAUCUAGCAGUUACAGCAAUACGAACCCAAAUAACUGUCAUGAGCACUGAUUUAUCACUCAUGAGCUGAUCUGUAAACGUUUGGCGAUGAGGGUAAGGACAUUUACAUUGUGCGCUUUUGUAGCAAUGCAUAGAUGAUGCCUGUUCAUGCGCACCUUCAUUUGCUCACAUCGCCCAAGUCAGCAGCUAAUCUCUGGUCGUAUUGUUGGGUCGUCAAUACAUCAAACUUGUUUCAACGGGGUUCGGUGCACAUCGUGGUUUUCAGAGUUGUCAUUGUCGCUCGUAAGGACUAUAACCCGUUCAUAGUUCAGUGGAGAAUCGUAUCGACUUUUCUUCCGGCCAUACUGGUUGUCUAUAGGGCGCCGAUGUGAUCGUUCGCUAUCGUUCAUUUACAUCCACUUUGGAAACAAUUCAGGCAUUUGGCCAACCUCCCUCUCUUCCCGUGUACUUCUUCCACGCCCUUUACCGGUUUAGCUUUAGCUCUAUAUAUGGUUGAUCACGGGUCGUUUUUAUUCAUUGACUUGUUCAAAAUUCUUCAUUGAUUUGUAUCUGUAGAAGCCCAUUUAGCUGUGUCCCGAGGUUAGAACUAGGGCCUUUGAUUCAUUGAGCUUCUAUGCACAGUAUUCGUCGUAUCGAAUCGGUAGAAGCCCGUUUGGCUUUGUACCGAGGUUAGAACUAGGGCCUUUGAUUCAUUGAACUUCUAUGCACAGUAUUCGUCGUGUUGAAUCGGU